ensembl:lncRNA
AGAGUUCUCCUGAGAGAGAGGGGGAUGGGAGGAAAGAAGAGAGUAGAGUGCUUGGGGGAGGGACCACGAGCCAGAAAGUGCAAGCAACCCUAGAAGAUGGAGAAAGCAAAGAAACGAAUUCUCCCCUCUGGCCUGCAGAAGGAAGAUAGUCUGGCUGAUACCUUGAUGUUUAGGACUUCUGACCUGCAGAACGAAAAGAGAUAAAUGAUGUCUGAAAUGAAGACAACUUUUGGAAUGAUGAGAUUUUCUAAUGCUUUUGAAUUGUCGUGCUGGAGAAGACUCCUGGGAGUCCCUUGGACAGCAAGGAAAUCAAACCAGUCAAUCCUAAAGGAAAUCAACCCUUAAUAUUCAUUGGAAGGACUGAUGCUGAAGCUGAUGCUCCAAUACUUCGGCCACCUGAUGCCAAGAGCCAACUCACAGGAAAAGAUGCCCUGAUGCUGGGAAAGAUGGAAGGCAAAAGGAGAAGGGGGCGGCAAAGAAUAAGAUGGCUACAUAACAACACCAACUCAGUGGACAUGAAUUUGAGCAAACUCUGGGAGACAGUGGAGGACAAAGGAGGCUGGCAUGCUGCAGUCCAUGGGGUCGCAGAGUUGGAUAUGACUUAGUGAACAAUAACAAAUUCAGAUUUUCAGAUUAUGGUGUAAUUUCUCAGAUGUCUGAGGGGAUAUUAUUAGAUAUUUACCUUAAUAUCCUGUCACUGCUUGCUCCAAUAGUCCCAGUGUACUUACCUUGCAGACAAUUGAAUAGGUUUGCUUCCAUUUUUGCUUUUAAAAACCUUACUAAAUACCUCCCUAUGUGAGACAUUCUCUACAGAGGAAAUGCACACAAGCUGAACUGCCAGCAGCCUCAUGGAUUUCCCCAUCUGUGUUCCCCUGGGACAUUUAAGAAUAACAUGUCCAAAAUGGAACUCGUCCUCAACCUCUCAGUGCACAUCUUUGUUCCUUACCUUGGCUAAAGUCAUCUCCAUCCAUCUAGCAAUCCAAGUCAGAAGCUCUGAUUCCUUCUAGAACAGUGGUACUCAAAGUGUAGUCUGCAGAUGAGUUAGACCACAGAUAACCAUCAUAACAAGUUAAGGUUAUUGAAAAUACAGGAAUUGGAAAUUGAAACGUAUAGAAAUUGAAAAUAAGCAUUAAGAUUUUUAUAGUAAGUGGACAUUUCUGGAACAUCCAAGCACAUGAUCAUUUUAUCUUACAAAAGAAAUGCUCCACAAUGAAUUGGAAAUCUAUAACUUAGACUUCACCAAAACACAUUGAGGGGACUUCCCUGGUUAGGACUCUGUGCUUCCCACUGAAGGGGGCCUGAGUUCAAUCCCUCGUCAGAGAACUAAGAUCCCACAAAGACACACUAUGCAGCCUGAAAAUAAAUAAGACACAUUGAGAAGUGCUAUUCUGGGCUGCUGCUUUCCCCUUUCCAAGGUGACAUUAAUUUUAGAAUAUCUCCUAAAUAUACAUCAAAUCUGUUCUCUUCUCUACUUUAAGUCUAGUCUCUUGUUUCUUACCUGGCAGGUAACUGCUUUCUUCCUCCUUAAUCCUUUCCACUCCUCCGACCAUGACCAUAUUGCCUCCAGAGAAUAUUUUAGGAUGCAGAUACAAUCACAUGCCUCCCUGUUUGAAGCCUAACAUUGGUUUUCCACUAACAACAGAAUAAAAUAUACAUUCCUUUGCAUGAUUUGCAAGGCCCAAUCUGGCCCUUUUCUAUUAUUUAGUUUGCUCUUUGCCACUCUCUGCUCUUUGGUCUAUAUAAUAAUCAUCAAACCUAGAUUGCUAAAGACACUUUACUUUUUCAGAUCUCUCCAAUUUUAAGCACUCUGUUCCAUGCAACUAGAAUAACUGUCUGUGUUGGCUCCUUGGAAAAAUUCUUUUCUGUAACAUUCCACUCAACAGAAUCAAAUUGGAAUUGGGGUCAUGGAAGCAGGACAAAAUUCAUUGGCUCAACUGAGUCAGAAGUAAGUAAGAGAAUGAGCACAUCAGGGUUAGGAUAAGAAGGUUUAAAGCUUGGGUGAGGGUUUCUUAGCCAAAUGGAAGAGCCGGCAUUGUUGUGGGAAAGUCCAGAUCUAGGAAACAAGAACCAACUCAGUUUGAUAAAAACAAGUUGUGGUGGUCUUGAGCAGCAAACUCCAAGAUCAAGAGAAAUGGGUGCCAAGGUAUUCUGCAGAAGUGAAAGCUGUAAAUCAAGCAGGAUCCAGACCAGGGUCCCAUCUGGAAUCUCAGACAAGAGCAGGGAACAUGCACACUCCACUUGCCCUGAGGUCUGCUUAGACCUUGUUGAUGUUCUAGCUAGUUUUUGCUUCCACAUUCCCAUACAUAGAGUUUCUUACCCUGGGGUGCUUUAUGUCAGGGAAUCUGAUAUAUCCUCCUCAUAUAGCAUCUCUCCUCAACUUCUUGCUAUGGUUUGCAUAUGUGUGUAUGCUUCUAUAUUUAUUAGCUGUUACCUCACUUUAUUACAAUUUUUUUUUU